rnacentral:rRNA from 1 species
UACGAAGGGGGCUAGCGUUGCUCGGAAUCACUGGGCGUAAAGCGCACGUAGGCGGCUUCUUAAGUCAGGGGUGAAAUCCUGGAGCUCAACUCCAGAACUGCCUUUGAUACUGAAAAUCUUGAGUCCGGGAGAGGUGAGUGGAACUGCGAGUGUAGAGGUGAAAUUCGUAGAUAUUCGCAAGAACACCAGUGGCGAAGGCGGCUCACUGGCCCGGUACUGACGCUGAGGCACGAAAGCGUGGGGAGCAAACAGG